GAUGAACGCUGGCGGCGUGCUUAACACAUGCAAGUCGAACGAAGCACCUCUCCCGAAGCUUGACACAGCUUGCUGUAGAUUGAUUCAUUUGAGGUGACUGAGUGGCGGACGGGUGAGUAACGCGUGGGUAACCUGCCUCAUAGAGGGGGACAACAGUUGGAAACGACUGCUAAUACCGCAUAGUAAGAAGAAUUCGCAAGUUUUCUUCUUGAAAGAUUUAUCGCUAUGAGAUGGACCCGCGUCUGAUUAGCUAGUUGGUAAGGUAACGGCUUACCAAGGCGACGAUCAGUAGCCGGCUUGAGAGAGUGAACGGCCACAUUGGGACUGAGACACGGCCCAAACUCCUACGGGAGGCAGCAGUGGGGAAUAUUGCACAAUGGGGGAAACCCUGAUGCAGCGACGCCGCGUGAGUGAAGAAGUAUUUCGGUAUGUAAAGCUCUAUCAGCAGGGAAGAUAAUGACGGUACCUGACUAAGAAGCCCCGGCUAACUACGUG
rnacentral:rRNA from 1 species